ACCAACUUGCUAUGACAUUUACAGUGUAUUAUCCUCUUGGGUGAUGACAGAUAACGCCCACCUUGAACAAAUAUCUUAGUGCAUCUGCUGGGCAAGCUGUUGAUGGCACAUCAUGAAUGCAUCUCAUCCUAACUGCAUAGUCAGAAGACAAAUAGUUGAAGUCCCAUCCAGGACAAUAGCCACUACCUUCUUGAUGUUAACCUUGUUCUGCCACCACCUACCUCAGAGUGGCUGGCAGAGAUUAUAAACUUCUCCUGAUGCAAUCAGGCAGAUUAAAGGUCACAGGGACCACAACAGAAAUGUUUCAACAGCAGACUUAAAAGCUACUAAUUGAAUCCCAGCUUCUAAGCCAUUGCCCACUAACCUCUCUUGAGACUCAAGAGACCUCACCAGCUGGCUGAGCCUGGAGACCUUGAAAUCCAGAGGUGGCUACUGCAGGCUCUUCCCGGGUCGUGCCUGCCAUCUUGUGGAUAUAAAUGGUAACUACACCGAGGCUGGGCUCAAAACCCCCUUAAGGAUCAAAGGACUUUGUUCCCUUAGUUGUCAAAAGGAAUUGAUCUUGCUUCUGCAGUCCUGAGGGUCUGCUCCAUACUGAUCCUGACGAAGGCAUUAGGGUACCAGUCUCACAUCUUCUAUAAACCCCUCUAUCCUUCAGAGCUCUUAGCUUUUUCACAAGCGCUUACUAAAUGUUCUGGAAAGUUGAGAAUCUAAGCUAUUCAAACCAUGGACCUAUGAUUAACUUGGAGGUGACACCUUAAUUG
rnacentral:lncRNA from 1 species